GUGUUCACUUUGGCAGCACAUAUACUAAAAUUGGUACAAUACAGAGAAGAUUAGCAUGGCCCUUGCUCAAGGAUGACACGCAAAUUCAUGAAGCGUUCCAUAUUUUU
rnacentral:snRNA from 1 species